GGCCAUGUUAAAUUCAAGAAUGGGACUGAAGAGGAAUCACUAGAAACAGAUGAAGAAUUGCAAAUCUCACAACGUGUGAGAAAAUGACAUGUGCUCAAGAAACGACAAGGUGGGCAUUUGUGAACGUACAUGGAAUAGGAGGAGGGUCACAGAGGAAACUGCACAUCCUCUUUCCCAAGAACGUCAGGCAGCAUGUUGUUCAUAGAAGCACCAUUUCUCCAGUGUGUAUCUCUACAGAGCGCCGUAAAUACUGACAACUGCUGAUCUAGAGAAAUUAUCUCUCUGGUA
rnacentral:lncRNA from 1 species